AUGGAGGAUGUGAUCUACGAGGGUGGGCAGGGCCGUGCCUACGACCCCGACGAGACCAAAAGUCAGGAUGGCCGCGCCCAGUACGUUCCCGAUGAAGAGGCCAACGACCGUGAUGACUACGACCAUGGUGACUCAUGGCAUGAAGACAAUGACAUCUAUUGCGAAGGUGAUGGUGAUGAAGAAGACAACAAUGACAUUGAUAUUGGUGGCGAGCCAUUGUUCAUCGACGAGCUCACCCAAAGAGCGGAAGCACAAAAGAGGAGGAAGAGCAUUCGCACGGGUUCAUAUACACAAGAUGAGGACAAGUUGAUUUGCCAAUGUUGGAUGGAGAUUAGCCAAGAUCCGAAGACCGGCGCGCAACAAAAGGGCCUUGUUUUUUGGACGAGAGUCCACAAAAAUUUUCAUGAAAGGAAGAUGUUUGAGCCCUACCAAAUUACAAGCAAUCGUGGCAUCACCUCGAUUCAAAAGAGGUGGUUGUUCAUCCAACAAGAGUGUAACAAGUAUUGCGCCGCAUUUGAGAGCGUUGAAGCACGACCCGUGAGUGGUCUCGGCGUUGGGGACAUGGUAUGCUCUCCUUUCCUAGCCCUUUUCCUUGCUACAGCCAUGUGA
rnacentral:rRNA from 1 species